rnacentral:rRNA from 1 species
UACGUAGGGGGCUAGCGUUGUCCGGAUUUACUGGGCGUAAAGAGUGUGUAGGCGGUGCUCUAAGUUCGGUGUGAAAUCUCCUGGCUCAACUGGGAGGGUGCGCCGGAAACUGGAGUGCUUGAGCGUGGGAGAGGAAAGCGGAAUUCCUGGUGUAGCGGUGAAAUGCGUAGAUAUCAGGAGGAACACCUGUGGUGUAGACGCUUUCUGGACCAUAGCUGACGCUGAGACACGAAAGCGUGGGUAGCAAACAGG